CCUACGGGAGGCAGCAGUGAGGAAUAUUGGACAAUGGGCGCAAGCCUGAUCCAGCCAUGCCGCGUGCAGGAAGACGGUCCUAUGGAUUGUAAACUGCUUUUGUACAGGAAGAAACACUCCCUCGUGAGGGAGCUUGACGGUACUGUAAGAAUAAGGAUCGGCUAACUCCGUGCCAGCAGCCGCGGUAAUACGGAGGAUCCAAGCGUUAUCCGGAAUCAUUGGGUUUAAAGGGUCCGUAGGCGGUUUAAUAAGUCAGUGGUGAAAUCUGGUCGCUCAACGAUCAAACGGCCAUUGAUACUGUUAGACUUGAAUUAUUAGGAAGUAACUAGAAUAUGUAGUGUAGCGGUGAAAUGCUUAGAUAUUACCAUGGAAUACCAAUUGCGAAGGCAGGUUACUACUAAUGGAUUGACGCUGAUGGACGAAAGCGUGGGGAGCGAACAGGAUUAGAUACCCUGGUAGUCCACGCCGUAAACG
rnacentral:rRNA from 1 species